AAAUAGUACUACUAUCAUAACACAUCCAACCUCUCUUUCGCUCCCAUUUCUGUGUCUGCAUUUUGUACACCUACACAACCCUGCAUCUUUCAGGCUCGGCUCUGCUAUGCUCUUUGGUCUUGUCACAAUCUCAACAGCUUGCGAUUCUUGUCUUCAUUCUCAACCAUUAGCCCUAAUUUUUGAAUAUAAAUAAGAACAAGAUGUGGAUCUCAAAUCACUUUAACUCACACAUCUUCAGACGAACGGAAACAGAGUUGUGCGGGGUCGCACGGACGAGCUCGGACUCGUGGCAGUAAUGGUUGUUUCCGGAGCAACCGGCAAGAGGAGUGCGGCGUCCGGUAUGUGAUAAUCGUGUAUGGUGGGUGGAUCUCUUCCAUACAAAACUGUAAAUGGCAUCAUCCAGUGGAAAGAGGUGUUAUGCCAAAUGGUGUGAAUGGUUGGUCACUGACAAAACAGAGAAGCUUGAUUUUGCAAUCAACGCCCUUGUGUCAUUAAACAUGGUGGUUACAAUGUUGGUGGCAUUUGUGCUGAAAGGCACGGUACCAAGAAAUUCUCUAGAACGGAUGGACUAUAUGCGGAUGUUGUCUCAAGAGAUUGCUACUGAUUACUCGCCGGCAUCAGCAUAUUUUUGUUUGAGUUCCUCUAUUCAGCUUGUAUGUUAUAUCUCAGAAAUAUAAGGUCUGAGUUGCCUCCUCAAGAAUGAAUAUAGAGAAGAGAGUUGCAUAAUAUUUCAUUGAUACUUAGAAUUGGAAAAUACAACAGAUAUAUAGGAAAAAUAUCUAGAGGAUCUUAACAGAA